ACAGGUCUGUGAUGCCCUUAGAUGUCGGGGCCGCACGCGCGCUACACUGACCGGAUCAGCGUGUGCUCUCCUUGGCCGACAGGUCCGGGAAACCCGUUGAACCCCGGUCGUGCUAGGGAUAGGGAAUUGCAAUUAUUUCCCUUGAACGAGGAAUUCCCAGUAAGCGCGAGUCAUUAGCUCGCGUUGAUUACGUCCCUGCCCUUUGUACACACCGCCCGUCGCUACUACCGAUUGAAUGGUUUAGUGAGGUCCUCCGAUUGGACCCGGUCCGGGCGGCGACGUCCGAGCCGGCGUCCGAGAAGACGAUCUAACUUGAUCAUUUAGAGGAAGUAAAAGUCGUAACAAGGUUUCCGUAGGUGAACCUGCGGAAGGAUCAUUA
rnacentral:ncRNA from 1 species